UUAAUUGAAGCCAAAGUAUGAGGCGUAUCACUGUUAAUGAUAAAAGUGAAUAUAAAUUCCAAUUAAG
rnacentral:tRNA from 1 species